AUGUUUUCUGUAGCUCUGCUGCUGCUGCUGGCAGCUGGAUGUGUGAAGUGUGAACAGUUGACACAGCCAGCCUCUGUGACUGUGCAGCCAGGUCAGAGUCUGACCAUCACCUGUCAGGUCUCUUAUUCUGUUAGCAGCUACUACACAGCCUGGAUCAGACAGCCUGCAGGGAAAGGACUGGAGUGGAUUGGAAUAAGAUACACUGGAGGCACUUACUACAAAGAUUCACUGAAGAACCAGUUCAGUAUCGACUUAGACGCCUCUAACAACAGGGUGACCCUAAACGGACUGAAUAUGCAGCCUGCAGACACUGCAGUGUAUUACUGUGCCAGAGACCCACA